GAGCUCCAGCGCACAGAGGAGUGGCCCCAAGCGAGGCCAGACUGCGGAAGGCGAGGAGCUCAGGACUCCUCCACGGGACGGCGCCAGGCGGGAUCAACGCCCGGGGACUUCGACUUGUUGGCGAAGUACAUAGCUGUGGACUCAUGUCACACACCCGCCACAGGCUGCCCACCGGGAAGAAGGAGCUGACAGAGACGAGCUGUAGCUGGGAUGCACUGAUGUUAGCUUAGAAAUCACAGCAAAUGGCGCCAACCAGUGCAGGGCGCACAGACACUCUGCACAUGUGCUCAAGAAUGACUUGGGAUUCCUGAUCCUCCUGUCUCCACUACCCAAGUUCUGGGACUCUG